rnacentral:lncRNA from 1 species
CUUAUCAGGUGCUGCCUACCUGGCCAGGCUCUGUAUGAGGCCAUGGGUUCACAGUGGGGAGCAAAGAGAGACACAGGCCCUACCUUUCGUGGGGAGAGACUGUGAGCAGACAGAUACCAGGCAGAUGUCAAUUACAAGCGAGGACAAGUGCUUCAAUGGAGAACAAAGGAUGUUGAAAGGUAACGUAACUGAGCCAAGGGCCCACGAUGGGAAGUGAUGUUGGAACUGAGAUCUGAAGGCCAAACGCAAGUUAGAUGGGCUAAG